rnacentral:rRNA from 1 species
UUGAACGCUGGCGGCAUGCCUUACACAUGCAAGUCGAACGGUAACAGGCUUCGGGAUGCUGACGAGUGGCGAACGGGAGAGUAAUACAUCGGAACGUGCCUAGUAGUGGGGGGAUAACUACUCGAAAGAGUGGCUAAUACCGCAUGACAUCUAAGGAUAAAAGCAGGGGACCUUCGGGCCUUGUGCUACUAGAGCGGCCGAUGGCAGAUUAGGUAGUUGGUGGGAUAAAGCUUACCAAGCCAACGAUCUGUAGCUGGUCUGAGAGGACGAUCAGCCACACUGGGACUGAGACACGGCCCAGACUCCUACGGGAGGCAGCAGUGGGGAAUUUUGGACAAUGGGCGCAAGCCUGAUCCAGCAAUGCCGCGUGCAGGAUGAAGGCCUUCGGGUUGUAAACUGCUUUUGUACGGAACGAAAAGCUCUGGGCUAAUACCUCGGAGUCAUGACGGUACCGUAAGAAUAAGCACCGGCUAACUACGUGCCAGCAGCCGC